GUGCUAGCUUCGGCAGCACAUAUACUAAAAUUGGAACGGUACAGAGAAGAUUAGCAUGGCCCCUACGCGAGGAUGACACGCAAAUUCGUGAAGCAUUCCAUAGUAAA